ACCUCCUCACAGCCGCGGCUUUGACGGGGGAAGAGUGGGAUGCAGCUGGAGGGCGCUCCUCUGCGUGGCUUGCCCGGAUCCGACGUAAACUGGUGUAAGGAAGCACAGAAUGAGUCCGGACAUGUUGUGCUUGGAGGGAUGUAGUAUUUCAAGACAAGAAGAACAAUCUUACUAAGGAAUAAGAAAAAAAUUUACACCUUCUGGACUAGAGGCAAGAAACUACAAACUCAGUUGUUCCAAGCUGCUAUUGCACC